rnacentral:lncRNA from 1 species
CAGCCUCCUGCAAAGCUGGAACUACAGAGGCAGCACUCAAGCUCUGAUUCUCACUGUUGCCCAGCGUCAGUUGUUUAGCAGACAUGAUUUAGAUUGCUACAACCCGUUUAUACGUGAUCAUUUAACACACGGGUGUUAAGUUCAUUCUUGCUGCAAAAGAAGGCCAUUGUACCUCCUGACCCUGAAAGCAAGAACUGUGUCUCUUUAAAUCUACUGAGGAAGAUAUUCCUUCUGGCCCACAGGAUGCCAAAAUGACUUGAUGAUUUAUUUAUGCAGCACUUGGCAGCCUAUAGUCCAGAUUGUGGCUGAAGCUGAAUUUUAUGAGCCUUCCCCUAGGACACUGGAUUUUGUGGAUGCUCCUUGGACACACUGGAAUGCACCUUGGGCAGCCCGUGGAUCAUUUUCCCCAGUAUGAAGCAUGGGAGGAGCUGGAAAAUGAACUCAUGAGCCAGUUGAGCCAGCACAACAAGCUGGAGCCAGGAUAUGCAGCUGGGAGCGAGUGUCCAGCCAACAGCCCGUGUCUCAGGCCCUGCCAGGGGAUGAAUCAAUUAGCAAGAGAAGCAAUGAUGCAAAUGCUCCGGGGUCACUUGGGAUGCUGUUUGCCUUUUUGAUAGAGAAAGCACACCAUAAAUAACAUCACACCUCAGGAAAUCAUUCCAGGAGGCCCCGAUGCUGGCAGGGCUGCUGCCAGGGACGGAAGGAAUCGUUUGCUCAUUGUGUGUAUUUCCCCCAGCUCAGUCAAUGGGAGAUUUGUAGUAAAAUCAAAGUAUUUAAAAGGAGGACAGUAUGUGGUAACAGAGGCAUGUUUAGCAAUUUUUUUAGUACCAGAACCUGUGAUUUAUGACCCAGAGUUACAGCCAACUUUAUUACAAAAAUGACUUCACCCAUAAUAACCUUAUUCAGGGCCCUCUGAUGAAUGAUGUAGUAUCCAACAGCAUUAUAAUCUAGUAAAUAUUCAAACACAAUUCCCGCCUCCGCCUCAUUUCCAACCAACCCCUCAGAAGCAGGCUUCCCCCUUUACCUGCUGGGAGAAGUGGGGUCCUGGGUAAGGCUUUGUGCUCUGUCUGUGGGAGUUUGCCUGGAUCAGGCAUUUAUACUAAGCCAGGACAGAAAGUGACCUCCUGGGGUCUCAGUCAUAUCUUGUCCAACCUUGUCCCCUGAGGAGUAAUGAGCAGAAGACACCCACUCACCCUUCAUUUCCUCUCUGUGCUGAAACUUAUUUCCUCCCUGCAUUCCCCCACUCCUCCAGAGCUCAGAUCCCCACCACCUGAAAGGAGCUCCAGUAAGCUCCCUGACAUUUUUAAUUGCCAUGGUAACUGAGGGCUGCACUAAAACCGCCAGGGCUGGGUGUCCAAGCAGGGUCCCCUGGGCGUACCGGGAUCUAGAAACUAGCCCUCCAUCUUAUUAAACUCCGGUGUCAGUUCCUAGCAAUUGUUUUAAAUUUACACCCUCAGAGUGGCUUAGUGGGAUUACAUGUCCAUUUGCAUUAAAACAGUUUUCUGUCAUUAAACUGCCAUACAAUAAGCUUCCUUGGGACAAAUUAAUGAGCUCUAAAUAUCAUCAAGUAGAAGUUCACUUCAAGACAGGCAACAAGGAGGGGGGUCGGAAGGAAGUGGCUGCUCAGAAUCUCAUGGCCCAGGAGAACGAUAAGUGCCAACUAAAGAAGGGUCUUGUCCUGUUUCUUCACUGCACGAUAAGUGGUCCUGAUUUAGAGCUGAAUGGGGAGAUUUGGCAAUAUUCUCCCUGUUCGCCAAAAUCCUAUAGCUCAUCUUCUAUUCCUUCUUCCAAAUAUGACUUUACCCUUGACUUUGCUGAAAUUUGCUGAUGAAACACUGACCUCUUGUCUCAGUGACAAUGUCUCAGCCUCAUUUUCUUUGUCCUGUAGUUUCUCUGUCCUUGAGGAACUUGCGUGCAUCCACGUGGCCUGGGAACAACACGCACACAACGCAGCACUAUGUGUAGCUUGAACAAGUGCUCCCUAACUUUGUUAGUUCCCACACACUUUGCUAAAAUGCAUGUAUGAUUGCUACUGAACUGUCUGGGUCCUCAGACCUUAUCGGGACCCUGGAACACGAGUCCUGAUCAGGAGCACCUUUCAUGGUCAUCAGGAGCAGAAUAGGAACAGGGAACAGUUUAGCUUCUAAGACUGAAUUUGUCCUGCUCACAAGAAUCACCAGAGCUUGUCCUCACAAAUACAUAUGUGUGUCUAAGUAGAAAUUUUUCAUUAACACCAAAUAAACCCCCAAACCUUCCCUUAUGUAAAGGAAAUAAGACUGGCUGCUAGACAGACUUCUUGAUCCACAGAGGCUGUGAUCUCAUUUCUGUGUAGCCUUAACAGGGGACAGUAAUGUAUGAUUGAGACACUGCUAUAUUUAGGAAUGACAAGAUGAACAUUAUUAAUAGCUUAAUUGACAUUAAGGCAAUUACCCCUACCCUUAUUACAGUUUGUAGAAUUACACAGAAAAUAUUGGCUGGGGCCUUUUUUUCCCUAGAGCUACCCAAGGAUACAGCAUUUUAUUUCAUGCCAGAUCCCAGCUUUGACAUUAGAUACUUAGCCAUAGAAUGAUUCCAGUAAAUCAUUAUAAAUGCAUUAUAAUAAAGAUGUUAUGAGCUAUCAGAUAUUAACCCCCAACCCCUAAAGAGAGAUAAAUAGUCCAGUUGCAUGAUUCCCACUUUUGUUUCAUAAGAAAUAAGCUUUUGCAAAGAGCAACUGACUAAUGAAUUAUAAAAUGGUGUGUUGAGCUCAGAUAAUUAAACAAUGCAUUUUAGUGUCUAGUGCAGGAUGAACACUAAAUCAUACACAAAUAAAAAAGGUAAAAAUCUGAGCCCCAUGCCUAACUCCUAUUUUUGAAUAACAUUAAUGUUGGUCUACAGUCCAAAAAUGCUUCAACUAUUUUCUUAUCUGAUUAGAGAGGCAUAUCAAGUAUAAGAUCAAGGCACAGUAGGCAAACUAAACCAACAGUCAGAACAAAAACUGUGAAGGUGCUAAUUUCAGAUAAGCCCACAAGGUUAUUUUAAUGGAGAUUUUACAUGGAGAUUGCUUUUUCCCCCAAAGUGUUAAUGGGACAAAAGUCUAGAAGGACCUGGAAGUUUUCAGGUUUCCUUAUACUUUAUAUUUUCUCUGAACUCAUAAUAAAGCAUAUUAGUGGGAAUGGGAUCUAUGCUAUUGGUGGUGGUCUUAGCCUUAUAGUGUUGGAAAGAUGAAUACACAUCCUAAAAUCUUCUCUAGGUUGUGGAGGUGCAGGGAUGAGGAGGGGUUGGUUUGGGUUUCAACCAUUAUCCUCCCCAGGUGGUGGUAUCCUGCCCAGCAGGGCUUCAUCUAGUGGUCAACCAUGGAACACCAUGACAUUUUCACCAGUGGCCCUCAGACAGGGCUGGUUUGCCAUUGGCUGCCAUUUCCUGGCAUGUCGUAGAUUUGCUGCGUGAUUUGAAGCUGUGCUUCAGCACAUCCUGAAUGUGUUUUUUAGUCUUUCAGUAUCUCAAAGACAUGGUGUCCGCCUCAAGGUAGUCUCCUAUUUCUUCGUCAAAUAGCACAUCAUUAAGGACUGUGUGGCCAAAAUUACAGAUGGUCUUGGACUCUGUAUGGGCAAUGACCACCUGUGCUGGUAAUCGAGGCUUCCCUGGAACACCUGGGAACAUACCACACAGCCAGUCCUCUCCUGUGCUCCAGUCAAGCUUAACCUCACAGCCCGAUACUCCCUCCACUUCCCUAGCUCCAUGUGUUAGCCACUGCAGGUUAAUUGAUCUAAGGCUUAUUUUCUUCAAAUAUAAAAUGAAGAUAAUAAUGCCUACCCAGAGGGUCAUGUGAACAUUAAAUGAGAUCAAUUAUGUAAAGAUCUAUCUAUGCAGUGCCUUUCACAGAGUAUGCCCACAAAUAAAUGUUACCUGUUUCAUUUUAGUUAUCUAUGUUUAGCUAUCUUUGUGUUUUUUCUAUCCUGCUUCUUCUCGCUCCACUAUACUCUUACAUCCUAAUUCUCUCUCUCUCUCAUACACACAUACUUUGCUGUGUCUAGCACAGUGCUUUGCUUGUGGCUCACACUCUACAUGCUUGUUACCCUGAACUAUUAACAAAAGCAGCUGCUAGUAACAGUUAAUGUUUUCUGACCACCUACAUGAGCCAGGCACUAUGCUAAGUAUCAUCACUUCCUUUAAUUCUCACAAGCUUAUGAGACAAAUACUAUUUUAAUUCUCAUCUAUCGGAAAUUAAAGAUUAAAGAUGUUCUAUAACUUGCCCAAGGUCACACAAGCUCUUAAGUGGAUAGUCAAGAUCCAAACUCAGAACCGGCCUGGAUUUGAAAUCUCAGUUCUUAACUAUCACUGUGUCAGACUGAUUUUGUUAGCUUUUUCCUCCUUUAGACUGGGCCCUAUCAAGGGAUCAGAGAUAAGCAUGUACCCACUCUCAGAUGAGUGAUCCCACGACCUCAAGUUUUGAAGUUCCAGGAAGUCCAGAAGUGUAUGCUAACUCUAGUUUAUAGCUGUUCAAAAGUCACUUGUCUAAAAACUUCAGGGACAUUAUGUAAAACCAUCCAAAAAACAUUAUUGCACACCCCAUAAAGUUAAUUUCACUUUGCAAGAAUGUGUUUGAGGGAGGUGAUGCACUUGGCUAUGUAUUCAGGUUGGUGGCCACAAUAUAUGGAGCUGUGCUGUCAUCCUUGACACUCUGGCUUACUGGCAGCCUCGCUCCAACACACUGUCACAGGCGAGGGAUGGCCUCCCAGUCUUGACUCAGAACACUUAAGCUUCCUAAUGGUCCAAGUCUCACAAACCACACACCUCCCUUAAUUAAAAAAGUAAAUUAAAAGGAGUAUUUCAACUUAGGGAUGAAUUAUCUUAGUAAUUUAAGAUUGACAUUUUAUUGGAUAAAAGGACAUGUAUGAGUUUAUUUUAAAAUACUGCCUUCAUGAACAAGAGACCACAGAAAAGAUUAUCCUGAGGUUGCAAGGCGUUUGUAGAGCCAGAGGACACCCUUGCAAAACAGCCACUGUGAGAGGCCAGUUGCUGCAAAUCACAGGUCAGCCACUUCUACACUUGUCCUUCAAGCACAUCAGCCGGACAUUUGGAGUUUUCUAUAGUCUUCAUUUCAAACUCGAUCAUCCUGAGUGUUGUGGUGGACACUACUAGUGUCACAAAGAGUCCAGCACCCUCUCCUUCCAGGUAUAUAAACGGUGCAUUGCUGGGCUCCUUUGCAGUUGGAUAGGUCAGGUAAUUUGUCUGUUGUGAAGAGUUACUAUGUUUCACUUCUAAGCCGAAGCAUUUGAUUGUCAAUGGAAUACCCUCCAGCUCUCUCCUUCCCUGCAGAAGUAAUCUUGGAAGCAUGUGUUGAGAUGACAGAGUUCCCAAUAGCCUAGAUUCCUGAAUGACUUAGUGGAGCUGAGUCCUCCACAGGUCCAUGUUGGACAUGCACAAUCAGUGAGAAUAAACUUUUGUUGGAUUAAGUCACCGAUGUUUGGAGACUGUUCAUUACCACAACAAAAUGUAGCCAAAUCCCGACUAAUCCAGGAAUUAACCUUUUGUUCAGAAAAUACAGCCCUUCUAAGUCAUAAACCCAUAUUCUCUUUCCAAUAGCUUAUUAAAUGGUUUAUGUAUUUUCCAUCUUUUUGAUAUACUCUCAGAUGCCUAAAAUUACCACAGUGACCUUGGAUUGGACAAGGUAGUUGUUUGUCUUUUAGCCAUUAAUAAAUAUUGCUACUGUGGAAUGAGUGAGGGAAACAGAAGAAGACAAGGUUGGCCUUUUGAAAAUAAUAUGGCAUCAUGUAACGAUGAAAAAGAGAAAAAAUACAGAAAAAAGAGAAAACAAGAGAAAAAUGAAAAACAAGUCUAUAAGAGAGAAAAGUAGAGAAAAACAAAACAAUAGAAAUGCUGGGCAAUUUGUUUCAGAUUCACUAUAACCAACUGCUUGUUGUUGGGUUCUGCUCUAGAAGGCAUCUCUCAGGAUGCCUUUGACCCUCAGCACCUUUUUGUGUAUGUGCCUAGCAUACUGAGGUGCUCAAUAAAUGUUGAUUGAAAGGGUAAAUAAAGGAAUAAAUUUCCAUUUUAUAAUCUUGGAAGCAUAUAUUACUUUAAACGGCCUAUGACUAUGAAUGGACAUUCCAUUGCACAUUGAAAGGCAGUACAACAAGUGAGAAGGGAAGUAGAAAUAUAUGAGUUUGAAUAGCUCUUCAUAACCUUUAAACCUGAGUCCUUGCAAAGAGCAACUAUGAGGUCAGAGCAAUAAUUCUUUGUCCUAAAAACAGGACACCACUGAUAACUCAGAGCCGUCUGUUGAAGAAAGUGUUUCAAAUAAACUGGUUAGCAAUGCCCUUGUUUUGUUUGCCUCUGGAUGGGAAGAACUAGGAGUGCAAUCAGCACCGAGGUGUCUAUAGUCUUGAUGUGGUGGGAGAUGAAAGUAGGGGAACUGAAUAAUGUAUUUUUUCAAAACCUUGAAUGGAGCGAGAAAUACUGAUAAAAAGGAAGAGUUGUGAGUCAUUCUUCUGCUGAUGCCAACUGGGAAGCUCCAGUAGUAUAUUCCCCUGGUGAUGAAGUAAUUCACUUUUUCUGAGAUUAACAUUCUGUAGUAAGGCUGUUCCUCAUACAAGGUUGCUCACAGGUAAAGUUAAUAAAAGGCAGAGUCUAAGAAUUCAUAAGGAAGUUUGCCUUUCCAUGGGGAGAAAGCAUGCAAUCAGGGUCUCUAGUCUGUGUGCACACGUGUGUGUGCGCGUGUGUGUGUGCGCGCGCGCACUCAUAUGCACAGCUCAGAUGUCCAGGACUUGAGAUGAGAAUGGAAAGCACCGAAUAAGAAGAAAGCUGCCACACAGUAGGCUGAAGGAGAAUGACUACAACCUUUAGGCUGAAAAAAAAAAAACACUACAUGCUGGCGUGUAUCCUUGUGGAUAUGUGGAAACACAACAAAAAUAUUGGUCCAUCCUGGCUGCAGUUUUAAAGGAAAGGAAGAUCUCCUGGCAUCAACAUCUCUUGGAGAUGAACACACUAUACAUGCAAGUUCAAAUCUAUCAUCUUCCACCAGUCAACCCAAGCUACAUUCCCCUUCCAUUUAUUAUCAAAGGAAUAAGCACUUUUGUUUCCCAGGCUUAACUCCUCAAAAUCAUGAGCUUUUCUUCCCUACCUUUCCCUUCAUUCGAACUCUUUCCUUUCAAAAUGUUUAUAGAAUUCAUUCUUAUCCUCUCCCUGCCUGGGGGGUUUAUCUAGCUAGUCUAAAUUCUAGAUCAUUGCCUUUCUAUAGGAAAUAUAAAACACACAAAUAAUGAAAUACCCAUAAUCCAAGGCAGAAAUCAUGAGUGUUAUAGUAACAAUGGCCUCAAGAGCUAGACUGCCCAGGCAGCUCAUAUU